GUGUAUUCAAACUCCGUCCCCAUCAGGCUCUGUCGCUCCUCCUUCUUCUUCGCCUUCUGCUUGGCCUCCAGCUGGAUGAUGGAAAGCGGAGGGGGAACGAUGGGGCUGGGCAUGGCGCUGGCAGCAAACCUCGCUAGCAGACCCAGGCCACUCUCAUCAAGAGCAGGUGAUGAAAGCCUGUCGGUGCUGUCUGUCCCAUAGUCCUCCACCUCUUCCUCCUCUUCUUCAUCCUCUUCCUCCUCUUCCUCUGAGCUGGAAUCUUGAUCGAACGAGUCCUCCGAGGAGUCGCUGAAGGAAGAUCCCGCCUCGGCCUCCCGCAGCAGCAGGCAGAAGGGCUGCUUGCGGCCCGCCGCCGCCUUGGCCUUCAGCGGCCGCCCGGCCGCCACACCACGCGGGGCCGCCUUGAGGCUGCCGGCCGCCCGGCCGCCCUUCCUGGCCGCUGCGCUGUAGAGGCUGGGCGGCCGCGGCUUGGGGGCAGAGGGGGGCUGCGCCGGCCACUCGUCCCUCAGGGAUCCCUCCUCCUCCUCCUCUGAGUCCG
rnacentral:lncRNA from 1 species